GUGCAGCAGUCGAGAAAACUUCACACUGUGCGAAAGCACGAUGAGGGAAUCCCAAGUGCUUGCACGUAAGUGUAAGCUGUUUCUCUGUUUAAAAACGCAGAGAGAGUAAGGGCUGGGUAAGACGGGUGCCAGCCGCCGCGGUAAUACCUGCAGCUCAAGUGGUGACCGUUAUUAUUGGGCCUAAAACGUCCGUAGCCGGUUUAAUAAAUGCCUGGGUAAAUCGUGUAGCUUAACUAUACG
rnacentral:rRNA from 1 species